GGCCCCUUAGCUCAGUUGGUUAGAGCAGUCGACUCAUAAUCGAUUGGUCGCCUGUUCAAGUCAGGCAGGGGCCA
rnacentral:tRNA from 1 species